CAGUCGCCGCGGUAAUACGUAGGGUGCAAGCGUUAAUCGGAAUUACUGGGCGUAAAGCGUGCGCAGGCGGUUCGCUAAGACAGAUGUGAAAUCCCCGGGCUUAGCCUGGGAACUGCAUUUGUGACUGGCGGGCUAGAGUAUGGCAGAGGGGGGUAGAAUUCCACGUGUAGCAGUGAAAUGCGUAGAGAUGUGGAGGAAUACCGAUGGCGAAGGCAGCCCCCUGGGCCGAUACUGACGCUCAUGCACGAAAGCGUGGGGAGCAAACAGGAUUAGAUACCCGAGUAGUCCCUGUCUCUUAUAC
rnacentral:rRNA from 1 species